rnacentral:rRNA from 1 species
GCUGGCGGCGCGCCUAACACAUGCAAGUCGAACGAGAGAGAAGGAGCUUGCUUCUUCGAUCGAGUGGCGAACGGGUGAGUAACGCGUGAGGAACCUGCCUCAAAGAGGGGGACAACAGUUGGAAACGACUGCUAAUACCGCAUAAGCCCACGGGUCGGCAUCGAUCUGAGGGAAAAGGAGCAAUCCGCUUUGAGAUGGCCUCGCGUCCGAUUAGCUAGUUGGUGAGGUAACGGCCCACCAAGGCGACGAUCGGUAGCCGGACUGAGAGGUUGAACGGCCACAUUGGGACUGAGACACGGCCCAGACUCCUACGGGAGGCAGCAGUGGGGAAUAUUGCACAAUGGGGGAAACCCUGAUGCAGCGACGCCGCGUGGAGGAAGAAGGUCUUCGGAUUGUAAACUCCUGUUGUUGAGGAAGAUAAUGACGGUACUCAACAAGGAAGUGACGGCUAACUACGUGCCAGCAGCCGCGGUAAAACGUAGGUCACAAGCGUUGUCCGGAAUUACUGGGUGUAAAGGGAGCGCAGGCGGGAAGACAAGUUGGAAGUGAAAUCUAUGGGCUCAACCCCAUAAACUGCUUUCAAAACUGUUUUUCUU